rnacentral:rRNA from 1 species
UGGGGAAUAUUGCACAAUGGGCGCAAGCCUGAUGCAGCCAUGCCGCGUGUGUGAAGAAGGCCUUCGGGUUGUAAAGCACUUUCAGCGGGGAGGAAGGCGGUGAGGUUAAUAACCUCAUCGAUUGACGUGACCCGCAGAAGAAGCACCGGCUAACUCCGUGCCAGCAGCCGCGGUAAUACGGAGGGUGCAAGCGUUAAUCGGAAUUACUGGGCGUAAAGCGCACGCAGGCGGUCUGUCAAGUCGGAUGUGAAAUCCCCGGGCUCAACCUGGGAACUGCAUUCGAAACUGGCAGGCUAGAGUCUUGUAGAGGGGGGUAGAAUUCCAGGUGUAGCGGUGAAAUGCGUAGAGAUCUGGAGGAAUACCGGUGGCGAAGGCGGCCCCCUGGACAAAGACUGACGCUCAGGUGCGAAAGCGUGGGGAGCAAACAGG